AACGAUUUCCUCUCUGAAGAUAUACAGCCAGAUUUGUACAACCAAUUGUCACUUACGACCUAAGACACUAUUGUACCUACUUAUUCUUUGCAAAUAAAUACUUACA